rnacentral:ncRNA from 2 species
GACAAUUCGGUUCUCCGAGCCUGUUGGCCUACCCUCGUGCCGAGCACGGCCAACGGGCCCCUGUCCUGGAGCGCUGUAUGUGCCAGGACCGGGUGAGGAAGGAAACGCCCUCACCUCCUCGUGUCCGCCACAAAGAUUGGCGGAUCCGCCACGCAGUGUGGCGGACUUGGAAAGGAGAUGGAAUUCGGAUGAC